AAAGCCAAACCGGCAGCCAUUCCUUGCCGUUGAUGAAGUCGAUAGACAAGAAGGGUGCAACUUCUUUUUCGGUGAGUUGUCUCGCCCAUUCGGCACGCCCUGUAGCCUCUGCUCCUGGCCCUUUGCACUUGUACUCGGCAUGUUGUGCCGGAAUAGCUCCAGUUGGUCCAACCUUGUGGCACGACGGUCUUGGAGAGGUACAUGUUUGCGUAAAUCACUCUGGAGAAAGCACCCUUUGCCCUACCUAGGUACACACUGUCACCAACACCAUAGAGCUUGCCCUUGUUAAAAACAAAUCCACUGUUCUCCUUCUCAGUCUCCCUAUUUUGAGCUGUCACGGACCCUUUGAUCGACACCCUCUUGUCUCCGAUCACAAAGACCUCGCAGCUCUGCAUUGAUGGAUGCAUCCAUGGUUAAUUAAUUAGUCUUAUUCAAUGCACCUCGAUACGUGCUGACUGAUCUUUUUAAAGCGCUAAUAACAGUUUUCAUAAUUAAUUAAGAAGGUGAUUAAGUACAAGUACUACGUACGUGGAAGACAGAUCUACCGCGUCCAAAGAUGAAGUCAAUGGAGCCCUGGAUGUAGCAAUUAUCAUAGUAAUGUCUGCCUUUGUAAUCGAAGAGGGUGUUAUGGGUACUGUAAAAUCCACAAUGGUAGAAUGCAACUUUGUCUGCAGCUACAAAUGCGGCAACUGACUGGUUCUGGGAGGUGUAAGCCACACCGGUCGGGGCCUCAUUCUGCAAAACAUUGCAUAAUUUUAUGUAUCUAUUAGAUCUACAGAAUAAUGUCAUAUUUAUAUAUAUGUGGGUUAGGAUUGGAGACACAUGCUUUUGACAAUCAUUUUGAUGUACGUUUUUGUAGGACCUAUUUCGUAAUAUAUAAAUAUACAUAUACACAAAAAAGGGAAUGAAGAUGAACCUUGAAGCUGAUCCCGAAAGCAAUGAAAUGGGAAGCUUCGACACUAAAAGUAGCAGAUUCAACAUUGUCCGAAGAGCUUUGGGACCAAACAAUGGCUGACCUCCCCUUCCCAUUUCCUCUCAUGAAGAUAUAGGGCUUAUUACGUGGAACAGCAUCAAUGGCUGCUUGAACAGAUGUGAAAUCUCCCUUGCCAUUGAUGUCAACCUUAAGCGUGCGGUUCGUGUGAAUCUUCUGAGUCAAUAAGGGUGAAUCAAUGACUUUUUGCGCUGUCAAGCAAUGAACAAC